rnacentral:misc_RNA from 1 species
AUUUGACAUCACCACAACUUAAUCUUGCACGUAGCCGCAAACUAUCUAAGAAGGGUCAAAAUUCCUUGAUUCCUUACCUUAUUGUAAGGAAUCUUUCACUGGCAUGUGUUAUAUUGAACAAUUGGUAGCAACAAACCUAUCUAGCAUGGAUCAAAUUCCUUCAUUUGAAACCUAAAUAGGAAGAAUUUUUUCCAAGCAAUCAUCUUAUAACUGAAGCGAAA